rnacentral:rRNA from 1 species
AUGAACGCUGGCGGCGUGCCUCAUCCCUGCAAGUCGAGCGAACGGACGAGAAGCUUGCUUCUCUGAUGUUAGCGGCGGACGGGUGAGUAACACGUGGAUAACCUACCUAUAAGACUGGGAUAACUUCGGGAAACCGGAGCUAAUACCGGAUAAUAUUUUGAACCGCAUGGUUCAAAAGUGAAAGACGGUCUUGCUGUCACUUAUAGAUGGAUCCGCGCUGCAUUAGCUAGUUGGUAAGGUAACGGCUUACCAAGGCAACGAUGCAUAGCCGACCUGAGAGGGUGAUCGGCCACACUGGAACUGAGACACGGUCCAGACUCCUACGGGAGGCAGCAGUAGGGAAUCUUCCGCAACGGGCGAAAGCCUGACGGAGCAACGCCGCGUGAGUGAUGAAGGUCUUCGGAUCGUAAAACUCUGUUAUUAGGGAAGAACAUAUGUGUAAGUAACUGUGCACAUCUUGACGGUACCUAAUCAGAAAGCCACGGCUAACUACGUG